CUGGUGACCAGCCAUCAGGACUCCAGCUCUCUGGCAACUCAGCUCCCAGAACAGGCUUCUGACACAUCAAGGUGAUUUGCUUCUUCAAUGCCAGCAACAGAAACAGAGAAGGUCUCCACAGUUUUCAGUCUCUGAGCUCAGUAUUUUCAAAUAUCAAGUUUUGUUGAACUUUCUCCGGCUGAGGUUCCUACCAAUACUAUUUGCAAGAGUAAAAGCAACCAACAAGGUUUUGAAAAACUUUGCUUAUUUUUAAAUUCUUGCCAAAGGAAGAAUCCUGUCAC